ACCGGAUGCGGAUCUCGAAAGCCUGUCCCAGUUCGGACUGGAGUCUGCAACCCGACUCCACGAAGUUGGAUUCGCUAGUAAUCGCGCAUCAGCCAUGGCGCGGUGAAUACGUUCCCGGGCCUUGUACACACCGCCCGUCAAGCCAUGGGAGCCGGGGGCGCCUGAAGUCCGGGACCGCGAGGACCGGUCUAGGGCGAAACUGGUAACUGGGGCUAAGUCGUAACAAGGUACC
rnacentral:rRNA from 1 species